UUUUUUUUUUUUUUUUUUGCUUUUUUUGGCCUUUUUCUAGGGCAGCUCCCACAGCAUAAGGAGGUUCCCAGGCUAAGGGUCUAAUCGGAGCCGUAGCCACCCGCCUACGCUACAGCCACAGCAACGCCAGAUCCGAGCUGUGUCUGCGACCUACACCAUAGCUCAUGGCAAUGCCAGAUCCUUAACCCACUGAGCAAGGCCAGGGAUCGAACCUGCAACCUCAUGGUUCCUAGUUGGAUUCGUUAACCACUGCGCCAUGACAGGAACUCCAGAGCUUGACAUAUUGUUGACAGUCAGUACAUAUGGGUUGGCUGAAUGAAUGAACCAGGAAAUGAGUGGGUUCCCACUCAGGCGAGUGGUCAGGAUAGGAGAUGGUGAUGAUAUUGGCAAUAAUUAAUAACGGCUACCACAAGAUACAAGGACUGUGCCGAUUUCUUUCCCCAAAUUAUAACAUAAAUCUUUUCUUUUUUUGGCCGCCCCCAUGACAUGCGGAAGGGAUCAAACCUGCGCCACCGCAGUGACCUGAGCCACAGCAAUGACGACGUGAGAUCCUUAACCCACCGGGCCACCUCCCAGGCCCCUAGGCCAAUAAUUCUUGAAUAUUGGGCACCUAUGCAGGGCCAGUCCACUGCAUACACCGUAUCUUCUUCCCAGCUCUCUGAGGCUCAGAGAGUGAAGCACCUGCUCGGGAACCACAGCGAGAAAGAAGCAGAGCCAAAGCCCUAUACUCAGGGUCUGCCGUGCCACUUCCCAGAAAGUGUGCCUACUCCUUCUUUUGGCCUUAGAUCCUGACUGGCCUCCCAGCUCUGCGUCCUGCCCAACUACUGGGAAGCCUGCUCACCCGCUCCCUGCCGCCCCAGGAAAGCCCAGAGCGGCCAGUGUGCAGAGCCCCAGGUCCACAGCGGAGGCCAUGGAAACCACAUGGGCUUUCAGAAGCCGAGCUGCUUUGUCAGACCUCUGGGUGAUUAACCCUUGCACAGCUGCAACAAAUACACAGAAGAACGGCCAACAAGUACAUCCUAAAAGGCCUGCAGAAUAAGACCCGACAGCCGCCCCUCCAGGGCACUCUGCUCCCCCCUGUUGAGUUUACUUCCAGACCACGAGACCAAUGGGAAUGGAGCAAGACUUUGGGGACAGCUGGCACAUCUCUCCACGGGGCUCCCUGGAAGCCCAUUCCUCCCCAAUGGCCCUUAGGGCUGGGGAGCGCUUGGUAGCUCGCUCCUUACUCUUACCCAUUGUCCCCCAAAGGAAUAAAUGUCUCCAAAUUGUCCUCAUUAGAAAUGCAUUCCACUGACGUUCCAUGGAGAAAUGAAGCCAGGCAUCUUGGAGGACAAGAAGAAGUUUUGGGGGGCACCUGGGGAAGGUCCUCACUCCCCAGACCUUGCCUGAGCACUUACUGUGCACUCAGGGGAGUGGUCAGGAUAAGAGAUGAUGACGAUAUUGGUACAAAAUAAGAAUAGUACCACCAGGCGGGAAAAUCAGAUCUGAUUCCCGCUCAGGUCCAGAGGCGGAGACAGACAUGGACUGGCAGGUGCGGCGCCAUGCACACGCGUGAUAACUAACACCUAAACAGGAUGGAGAGGGACAAGAGGAAGACAGCAGUUGUUUGGUGACAAGGGCAGGUGGGAGGAUGGUCAAGAGAGGCUCCCAAGCAGACGAAGCCCCAGGACUGCAUAUUGAAGAAUGAGGUGGUCUCACCAGGCAGACAAAGACGCAGGGCACGGCGGCCGCGGUGGAGGAUGCCUUUAGGGUAGUGGAGCCAGGCAGGGAGGGGCCAGAGAAGCGGGGCACCAGGUGUUAUCACCUGUUUGGAGUGGGAUCCCAGAGAGGGUGUGGCCAGAGAUAAAGGUGAGCCCAAGUGCAGGGCCUGAGGAACCUGGACCUCCUCCCAAGGACAGGUGAAUCAUGGAAGCGUUUUAAGAAAUGGGAUGAUACGCUUUGAGUGGGACUUUAUUGAUUCAUUUAUUCUUUUGGCCACACCUGCAGCUUGUGGAAGUUCUCAGGCCAGGAAUCGAACCCAAGUGCAGUGACCCCCCCAGCCACAGCACUGACGAUGCCAGAUCCUUAACCUCCUGAGCCAUCAGGGAACUCUGAAUGGAACUUGAAAAAGUCUGCUCUGACUCUAGCGCGGGCAGAUGCAGAGGGCAGGGAGCACUGAGCUGGAGGCCAAAGACCAGUUAGGAGGCUGAUGCUAUUCACAGGCAACAUUUUUAUGGGGACCCAGCACAGUUUGAAGAGCUCCCCCACAACUAUAUAUAUAUUUUUUCACACCCCUAUAUAUAUUCACACCCCUAUUUUUACACAUACCCAGCUAAUGGAGUAUACAUGAAUAUUGUUACCGCCACUAGAUGGAGUAGGGAGCUAAAGAACAGAGAUAUUAAGUCACUUGUCCAAGGGCACACAGCAUGCGGUAGUCUCAGGAUUUGAACCAUCAGUGCAGCUUGAGCGUUCAUGCUCUGAACCACUAUACACGGGUGUCACUCCAUCAAACAUGACCAGGGCUUGGGACUGGAUUGUGUGGUUAAAAGAAAGUAUUCCUGAUGGGCUCACUCCAUAUUACCAGCUCCCCUGAAAUAGUUUCUAGCUUCCAUGGAUAGAGGGGUGCAGCCUUUAAUUCUGAGGCCCUUGGUGGGGAGAGGACCAUAGCAUGAAAUGUUAAGGAGCUGGCAACUCCCAGGACAGUACCGUGAUAUGAAGCCACUAGGGGUCACUUGAGUCCCCAGGAACACACACCUUUGGAGAAUGGAGGUAAUACUUUUGCUUGGGUAGGUGUGAGCCUGCAAACUCUUCUGACACAGGAAGUCAGGGUACCAGGUGGUCAGAGAAGGCCGUGCUCCAGGGAGAGGCUGAGGUCAGGUGGCUCCUGCUGGCGCCGUGUGCUCUGGAGGCCCCGUAGCAUGUGGCCAAAGCCAUGACCCCCUGGGGUGGCCCCACUUUCCACUCCCCCAGCCACACUCCUAGGAGGGAUAGGACUGGGAGGUGGCAGAAGGCAGGAGGCCUACCUGGGGGUCCUCUGAUAGAAGAGAGGCCCAAGGUCAAAGAUGAAGGCUCCCUGUGGCUUCCGUGUGAUGCAUUCGGUGGUAUACAAAGUGUGCGUGAACUCAGAGCUUGCUGACUCUGGGUUUUGGACAGCAUCUUAGAGCCUCAUUCCCCUCCUAUUAAAAUGGGAAUAAAGCCCAGCUAAAGCAGGUUAUGGUGAAAAUCAAACGUGAAUACUGGCUCUUAGCCUGUAAUUCACACUUCGUGGUUUUUUUGUUGUUGUUUUGUCCUUUUUAGGGCCGCACCUGCGGCAUAUGGAAGUUCCCGGGCUAGGGGUCAAACUGGAGCUGCAGCUGCCGGCCUAUGCCAGAGCCACACAGGAUCCCAGCCGCAUCUGCGACGUACCCACAGCUUGCUGCAAGGCCAGAUCCUUAACCCUCUGAGUGAGGCCAGGGGUCGAACCUGCAUCCUCACAGACACUGUGUCCGGUUCUUAACCCGCUGAGCCACUACAGGAACUCCUGCAAGCCACUCUUUGUAACGCCAUCGUCAGAUGUGCAAAAUUUCCCCAGUCUUGCACACCUUGGAGCAGGAGCUGCUGAUACUUGAAUGUAACAACUGAACUUCAGUCUUAACUCUAGGGGCAGCUACUUAAUGGUCACCCAAAGAACCAUAAACUAGAAGGGUUCACGACCUUCAUUUCUUCCUCUUGGUGACUGGAACUCAGAAUUGUGUUUGAAGUCUGGGAGAAAUCACUUAGAAGCAUAUGUUAACAGCACCUCCUGCUUGCUAAGACGGGGGAACCACAAGGUAGGUAUUCUUUAAAAGCAAGCUGAAAAGCCCAGGAAACAGCGGAUGCUUGUGAGCGGAUAAUUCACAGCUACUGUACGUACAGGCUCAAAGCAAAGCAAGGAGAGCAAGACUGAAGCCAGGGUCACCGCCCUAGACCAGGCAAAAUCCAAUUAGCUAAUCAGAGGCCCGGCCUGAUGGGUAUCUGUGCCUACACCUGUUGGAACCAGGGCAUCAAUUUCCCAUCCCAGAAAAAGCAUUGCCAGAGAUGAGAUUGUUAGGAGUGAAGAGAACGCUGGUCAAAUCACCAUCAUAGCAUUACAGAUAAACACACACCCCCCAACAUUUUCUGCAUUCGUGGAAAAGCCUAACCCUCCAAGGGGCAUUUACACACAAAUGGCUGGACAGGCUCGCGCCACACUGAGGUUUGGCACCAGAAUUUCUCCUAGGCAGACCGCACAAGGCAGAUACCUUCUGUCUGACAGGCGCGUUAUCCAGACCCCAGCGUGGGGGAACCAGUACAACAAAUGGGUUACAAACCCUGAGCACAGCUUCUCCUGGCCCGGCUGUUCACACCAAUUUCUCUGUCACGCCGCUCUCGCCACUGCAGGGGCACAGGUUGCCCUAGACCAGAAGACCCACCCUCACACCUUGUGGAGUCCAGGACACCCACCGAGGUUCAGUUCCCCUGGAAGCUUGAGACACAGGUGCUUUUAAAAAGUAGCAGAAGGGGCUGCUGCCCCCCUCCCCCCACCAAACCAGCCACAGCUUCAGUGUUGCUUGGUAUUCAGGGAGUUUCUUCCAAAGUCCCCCAGAUUGGAAGCACUUUGCAACUCUGGGGACAUAAGCAAGCUUAGGACUGCUACCUGAUUCUCCUGAUGGCUCGUUUUAAAAGAGCAGCCUACUGUUUUCCCAAAGACAAGAAGCCCACGCUUCGGACGUGCUUCUCUCUCUCCCAUCCCUUCACCCCCGAUGCCCAGAGGGGACCAUAACCAGCAAAGCUGAGGGGCUUGGGGGCUGCCAGUGGAAGGCGAGAGGCAGCGACAGGGGAGCCAGGCGACUCUCCCUGCAGUGGUGUCCAAGUUCCCACACCCCGAAGAAGACUCGGGGGACCUAAGAGUGGGUUCUGCCUCGGCCUCACAGGCUGAUAUGCACCGCCAGAGCCCUUGGGGCGGGUGGGGGAGGAGCCGCCGGCCUCCCGGCUCUGAAAAGUGGGGGAGCAGAGGGAGCGGGUUCGCGCGGAGGGCAACUCACGGAGGAGAAGUUGUGCGGGCCGCAGAGCUCGCCGCGGUACUUGCAGGAGAGCAGCAUGUCCUCGAGCUGGUGGCCCAGGCGGUCCAUGAAGGCGGCGCUGAUGCCCUCGAAGUGGCGCGGCGGCAAGAAGAGGCGGAAGUCGGCCAGCUUGCGGAACCACUG
ensembl:lncRNA